UCGAGCGAACAGAUAAGGAGCUUGCUCCUUUGACGUUAGCGGCGGACGGGUGAGUAACACGUGGGUAACCUACCUAUAAGACUGGGAUAACUUCGGGAAACCGGAGCUAAUACCGGAUAACAUUUGGAACCGCAUGGUUCUAAAGUGAAAGAUGGUUUUGCUAUCACUUAUAGAUGGACCCGCGCCGUAUUAGCUAGUUGGUAAGGUAACGGCUUACCAAGGCGACGAUACGUAGCCGACCUGAGAGGGUGAUCGGCCACACUGGAACUGAGACACGGUCCAGACUCCUACGGGAGGCAGCAGUAGGGAAUCUUCCGCAAUGGGCGAAAGCCUGACGGAGCAACGCCGCGUGAGUGAUGAAGGGUUUCGGCUCGUAAAACUCUGUUAUUAGGGAAGAACAAAUGUGUAAGUAACUGUGCACGUCUUGACGGUACCUAAUCAGAAAGCCACGGCUAACUACGUGCCAGCAGCCGCGGUAAUACGUAGGUGGCAAGCGUUAUCCGGAAUUAUUGGGCGUAAAGCGCGCGUAGGCGGUUUCUUAAGUCUGAUGUGAAAGCCCACGGCUCAACCGUGGAGGGUCAUUGGAAACUGGGAAACUUGAGUGCAGAAGAGGAAAGUGGAAUUCCAUGUGUAGCGGUGAAAUGCGCAGAGAUAUGGAGGAACACCAGUGGCGAAGGCGACUUUCUGGUCUGUAACUGACGCUGAUGUGCGAAAGCGUGGGGAUCAAACAGGAUUAGAUACCCUGGUAGUCCACGCCGUAAACGAUGAGUGCUAAGUGUUAGGGGGUUUCCGCCCCUUAGUGCUGCAGCUAACGCAUUAAGCACUCCGCCUGGGGAGUACGACCGCAAGGUUGAAACUCAAAGGAAUUGACGGGGACCCGCACAAGCGGUGGAGCAUGUGGUUUAAUUCGAAGCAACGCGAAGAACCUUACCAAAUCUUGACAUCCUUUGAAAACUCUAGAGAUAGAGCCUUCCCCUUCGGGGGACAAAGUGACAGGUGGUGCAUGGUUGUCGUCAGCUCGUGUCGUGAGAUGUUGGGUUAAGUCCCGCAACGAGCGCAACCCUUAAGCUUAGUUGCCAUCAUUAAGUUGGGCACUCUAGGUUGACUGCCGGUGACAAACCGGAGGAAGGUGGGGAUGACGUCAAAUCAUCAUGCCCCUUAUGAUUUGGGCUACACACGUGCUACAAUGGACAAUACAAAGGGCAGCUAAACCGCGAGGUCAUGCAAAUCCCAUAAAGUUGUUCUCAGUUCGGAUUGUAGUCUGCAACUCGACUACAUGAAGCUGGAAUCGCUAGUAAUCGUAGAUCAGCAUGCUACGGUGAAUACGUUCCCGGGUCUUGUACACACCGCCCGUCACACCACGAGAGUUUGUAACACCCGAAGCCGGUGGAGUAACCAUUUAUGGAGCUAGCCG
rnacentral:rRNA from 1 species